GUCAGAAGUGAGAAUCCAGGGUUUUUGAUGCAUCAUUGCCAAGAAAAAUGACAGGAGUAGUGGUGGGGAGAUGGGCCCUGUAAAUAAGGGGGGGCGGGAUAGUCUGUGGGCUGAUGGCAUGAGCUCAGAAGACCUGGGGUCGGCAAGGAGAAGAUACGCUGGAUGUCUCCAAAUGCCUUCCUUGGGGGUGAGAUAAAAAACGGCCACCCGUGAAGUUUGCAAGGGAGGUAGCAUCCUCAGAAGACAGUGAGGUUUCGGAGGAUGUGGAGUUGACUGCGCUGGAGCGAGGGCAGGGCAAGACUCCUGCUGGCGGGAGAGGGACAGUCAGGCCCACUGCCUCCUGAUGGGACGUGGCUCUGCUCAUUUGUGGGGCAGGGAGUGAUGAGAGAAGGGGCAUGCUUACCAUGAGUUCUCGGGGCCCCCCUCAAUGAACUGAAAUCGUCAGUGACGUCAGCGGUUCUCAGAGUUCCUGGUGGGCAUGGGAUGAGCAUUUCCUGCGAGAGCUUCUUGGUACACGUCUGUCGCUCCUCAGAUCUGAUGUCCACCACCCAGCUAGGGGGUCGACCAGAGAUGGGUGUUUUAAAAGAAUGUCCCAGGUGUUGUGAAAAACCUCCUAAUCCCCUACUAGAACCAUAGUUUUUGUUUUGUUUUGUUUUUUGAGGAAGAUCAGCCCUGAGCUAACACCUGCUGCCAGCCCUCCUCUUGUUGCUGAAGAAGACUGGCCCUGAGCUAACAUCCGUGCCCAUCUUCCUCUACUUUCUACGUGGGAUGCCUACCACAGCAUGGCUUGCCAAGCGGUGCCAUGGCCGCACCCGGGAUCCGAACCGGCGAACCUCGGCCCCUGAAAAGUGGAACGUGCACACUUAACCACUAUGCCACCGGGCUGGCCCCCAGAACCAUAGUUUAAUAGGAACAUACAAUGUGACUUACAGAAAUGUUUCCAUACUACUUUUAAGGAACACAUCUGUAGCACAAAUCAAGUGCAUUGACGGAAAAAAUUCUGUAUUUUAUUUAUACAUUAAUGUAUACAGAUGUGCUGAAAACUAUUGAAAAGCUAUUUGUGGAUAUGAAUCCAAUGGAGUCAACUCAUGAGACUAUGAAAUACACGUAUUAGCAAAGUGUUGUGUUAAGAAAACUGUGACUCCCCCAUUCAAAGUAGCUUUUGAAGACACUAGAAGUACUUUUGAAAGCCAAAAAAGAUGAACCCUCACAAAGCUGAAAACAACACUGCAGACGUCAUCUAGGUGGAGUCACUAACAACUGAAAGAAGACAGAGUUUAAGGGAAAAAACCCAUAAGCUUUGGCACAUGAAACAGAGACCUCCCUCCUGAAAAAUAAAAAUGAAAUUAAAUGAUUAUGCUCUCAUUGCUAAAACAGCAAUGUGUAUGACCUGCACCUCUGCCUUGCUCGUAACACUAGUGACGUAGCUGGUCCCUGUGUGCUGAUUCAGGUAAUUUGUAAAUAGAUUUAAGGUAAGUCCAGUGUAAUGACUACAUUCUUUUAAAGUUAAUAGGCUGUGGCUCCAUAAUGUUAAAUCAUGAGUUUAAGCCUAUUCUCUUUAGAAAUAAAAAGUCAUUUCUAUACGUUCCUCUCAAUUCUCUAUUACACAGGAAGUUACUUCAGGGUGGGGAUUAUAUCUUGGGUUUUUCUAGCACUUCUUAUCCCACCUCAUGUAACCUCCAGCCCCUGUCCUGGCGACAGGCCACAUACCAGAACACACUUAUUUAACUGAAUGACUGGAAAACUUAUUAGCCUUUCUUAUGAUGGAGUCACUUCACAGUGCUCCUUGGGAAAGCUGUGGAAGGCUGUACCAGUUCCAGAAGGCCUGUCCCAUUUUUAAUGGAAUUUCUUUUUCUGUAUUUAUUCCUCUUUCUUUCUAAUUCUGCUCCUUUGGUCCUCACAUCUUAUGGCUUGCAUAGUAACAAGAGGAAAUGCCUGUUACAUGUGCUUCCUGUUGAAACCUAAGUGAUAUUACUAGCCUGUAAGGUGCCACGCCUCUAGAUUGUCUCCUAUGAAUGACCAGAAACUGAUAAGUAAGUAUUUGCAGUCAAGAAUAACAGGGAGGGCUGGCCCCGUGGCCGAGUGGUUAAGUUCGCACCCUCUGCUUCUGCAGCCCGGGGUUUCGCUGGUUUGGAUCCUGGGCGCAGACAUGGCACUGCUCAUCAGGCCACGCUGAAGCAACAUUCCACAUGCCACAACUAGAGGGACCUACAACUAGAAUAUACAACUUUGCACUGCGGGCUUUGGGGAGAAGAAGGGGAAAAAAGGAUUGGCAACAGAUGUUAGCUCAGGUGCCAGUCUUUAAAAAAAAAAAAAAUCAGGGAGAAAUGGAAGAAUAAGAUGUUUAAGCAAGAAAGGUCAAAGCUUAAAGUUGAGUUAUUUAAUUACUAGGAUCCUGAGGACUAUGUCCCCAGGCACUAAGUGGGGGUGUUUUUUCCCAAAAAUGUAGUGAACCUAAAUUGUCUUCAUAGAACUUCUGGUAAUCUUUUGGGUCAUAAUCAGGGAAAGAAUGGGUGGGAACCAGAGGAUAACUUGGAAAGGAAAAGAGACAUACAGUAUAUCUUUAUAGGGGCUGCCCUUGGUUCACCUCCAGGCCCUGCCCAUGCUGCUCCCCUUACUUGGAAAACCCUUUCUACGCCAUCGCUGCUUCUCACGCUGAGCCCCAUGCAUCCUUCAGGACUAGCCUAAGGGUCCUGACCACUCCCCCAUCUGGGUGAUUCUCUAACACUUUCUGCCUAUCUGUGUCACAGCCCCUGUUGCACUGUGUUAUCAUCGGCAUUCUCCCUGAAACACAGGAACUAUGUUCUCCCUCAACCAAGAUAGCUAUGACGUCUUAGUGCCACCCCUCCCCCCCAACCUGGCACAUAAUAGGCAUUCAGUAAAUGUUUGCUGAGUCAAUUUUAAAUGAUUCUAAGAGAGAAAAUGAGUUGAAGACCUGGAAACAAAAUUAAAGAAACAGUCUCUUUGGGAUGAAAGAAGAAAUAUACUAUACCAUGCUAGAUAGAAAUUGAAGGAAAAUCUGGGAGAUAGAAUGAGAAUAGUGCCAUAAGGUGGAUAUAAACCCCAUGAAAUUCAGGUGUGUACCACCUCUGAGGUUUCUGGAGCUUUGGGGGUCUAGAGCAAGAUGCAAGAUCCUCUCCAAAAUGGAAGACAAGUUGUUACUCCUUGUGUCACCCUCCACAACACUUGGUGGCUUUCUUGGAUCUUGGAAGCUGCAUACACCACAUUCCAAUGUGCUGCCGCCACUCAUUCACCACGUAGCCUGUGAGACUGCCGAUCGGCUAUGCAGUGGAAGCCAGAGAAGGCCCCAUGUCCUCAGGCUGCAGUGCAAACCACUCUGCCACGUGGGCUUUGUUGACCCAGCAGGGCUCCAAGCGGAGCGUCUGUGGCAAAUACAAAUGCCAUAUGCUGGCUCAACGGAGAGUUCCCGGCCUCUCUAUGAUUUUGGAGCACAGCCAUAUCCUCCUCUGCAAAACACUGUUGCCUUUUUGAGAACAGCUCCUAGAUGGCUACUGAACUGUCUACUACAAGAUAUCAAGAGCCCUGUGUUCUGAGCUGACUAGUGUGAACCGAGCAGUAAGACUGAGCAUGCCCAGCAGCAGUCUGUCGUUCAAUGAAAACAGCACAUGAGAUACGAGGCUCAGCCGGUCCUGAGGCAAGCUGUAUGAGCAAAUGGCUCAGACUCUUGUGGCCGCUGCUCUGUGGCUUUGCCACCUUUCCCUCAAUUCACAUCCUUGGCCUCAUGAGGUAUUUCCGUGUGAUCAGUUAACCAAGGAAGCAAAAACCAGAACCUGGUUUUAAGACAGAAUGCUGGCACCAUCUGGACUGCAAUAGUAUCAGUCUAGUGGUAAAGGGAAAUCCUCUUUGUGGGCAGAACUUGAAGCCGUACGUUUGCCUAGACUAUGAGAUGCCCAGGAGAUGCAGAUCCAUCCAGCUGCACAGGCAGUGGUCAACGGCUGGCUCCGUAGUCAGGGACUUGAAAGGAACAGGACUGGAAAUUAGUGACACCUCAAUCAGCUGGACAAAGUGACCCAUCUGUGAAUAUCAGCCUCUUUCCAUAGCCACCCUGUAUUUGCUCAAUAGCCUGUGUAUAAAGUUGCUGCACCUGAGAGGACAGAUGCUAUGCGUGGGCUAAGUAUUGUGGACGCCCCCUCCCCGCGGCCGAAAUGGCUACCACUACUGUGUUCCUAACCUGUCCUCAGCGGAGACCUACUUUGAUUUCUCAAUAUGGCCUCACUCCUUGGGGAAACAAGGCAGCCACCAGAUAGCAGGUUGAUGACAUUGGACCCUUCCAUCAUACGGCAACUUGUCCUCAGUGGAAUAGACACGCAGGCUUUGGUAUGAGUUUUCCUACCCUGCCUGCAGUGUCUCUGCCAACAUCACAACCAUCUAGGGGCCUACAGAAUGCCUUCACCAUUACCGUGGGACCUCCACAACAUUGCUCUGAUCAAAUACCUCAUUUCAUGGCGAAAGCAGUGUGGCAAUGGGAAUUUACUGGUCUCACCAAAACCUGUCCCCCCAAAGAGCAGCUGGCUUGAGAGAAAGGUCGAAGGUCCCACCAAAGACUCAGUUGCAGUGACUGUUGGUAUACCGUCCUACAGGGUGAAGUAUAUGCUUUGAGUCUGCAACAAACGUUUUUUUCCCAUCACUGAAUACGCAGGUCUGAGAAUCAAGAUUGGAAGUGAGAGCACUCCCUCUUCACCUACUCGCAGAAUUUUAAGGUCUUAGAUCCCAAAGGAGAGAUGCUUCCACCAGGGGACACAAUAACUUUC
rnacentral:lncRNA from 1 species